rnacentral:rRNA from 1 species
CAGCAGCCACGGUAAUACGUAGGUGGCAAGCGUUGUCCGGAAUUAUUGGGCGUAAAGGGCUCGCAGGCGGUUUCUUAAGUCUGAUGUGAAAGCCCCCGGCUCAACCGGGGAGGGUCAUUGGAAACUGGGAAACUUGAGUGCAGAAGAGGAGAGUGGAAUUCCACGUGUAGCGGUGAAAUGCGUAGAGAUGUGGAGGAACACCAGUGGCGAAGGCGACUCUCUGGUCUGUAACUGACGCUGAGGAGCGAAAGCGUGGGGAGCGAACAGGAUUAGAUACCCGAGUAGUCCCUGUCUCUUAUAU